rnacentral:misc_RNA from 1 species
GCGCCGAUCACGUUCUUGUAGGCGACGGAAAGGAGAUUGCGCUCCUCGACGGUGAGCUCAUCAGAUUCCGGGAUGGAAAAGACCACCUUCUCCAUGAAUUGAACCAUUUCCUCGUAGCGCUCGGCUUGCUCGGCCAGCUUGGCCAUGUAAACGUUGUCUUCACGCGGAGAUCCGGCGGCCAUUUUCCGAUUCCUUUUGGUCUUUGGUGUGAGAUUUGAGAGGAGUUUUUCUUGGAAUUUUCAGAAAAAUUGGGAGGACUAAAAC